rnacentral:rRNA from 1 species
GGCUCAGAACGAACGCUGGCGGCGUGCUUAACACAUGCAAGUCGAGCGCGAAAGGGACUUCGGUCCUGAGUAAAGUGGCGCACGGGUGAGUAACGCGUAGAUAACCUGUCUUCAUGUCUGGAAUAAUACGCCGAAAGGGGUACUAAUACCGGAUAUUCUUGCUUUUCAUAAGUUAUGCAAGCAAAGGUGGCCUCUGCAUAUGCUACUGCAUGAAGAGGGGUCUGCGUACCAUUAGCUAGUAGGUGGGGGUAAUGGCCUACCUAGGCGACGAUGGUUAGCGGGUCUGAGAGGAUGAUCCGCCACACUGGCACUGGAACACGGGCCAGACUCCUACGGGAGGCAGCAGUGAGGAAUAUUGCGCAAUGGGGGAAACCCUGACGCAGCGACGCCGCGUGAAGUGAGGAAGGCCUUCGGGUCGUAAAGCUCUGUCAAGAGGAAAGAAGUGUACAAUGGCUAAUACCUGUUGUAUUUGACGGUACCUCUAAAGGAAGCACCGGCUAACUCCGUGCCAGCCGCCGC